rnacentral:misc_RNA from 1 species
GAAGGAUCGAGAGUAGAGGUAAUCUGAGUAGCGUCGAGAUUAGGAAAGUUGAGAAAUUUGAAAGAAUGCUAAGAUUUCUUAGAACCAUUACAAGUUAUCAUCGUUUUAUUUUCCCUGAUUCAUUAGUCAAACUCACAAAGAAGGCCAAAUCGAUUGUGAAAACACUUCAAGGAAUAUUUGAUGGGAUUCCAGAUGAAUGUAAAACUAACCUUAAUCUGGAAAGGCUCGUAUCACAUUUGUUCGAAU